ACCUUAGAGAGCAACUAAGUUUGUUCUAGGUAUAAGCUUUCGUGUGCAUGCACACUUCUUCAGAUGCACACGAAAGCUUAUACCUAGAUCAAACUUAGUUGGUCUCUAAGGU